GCAGUAUUGAAGAACUGGGAUGACAGGGUGCAAAGGAAUAUUCAACAUCCAACCAAUUUUUAUAGAGGGGCUCUUAAGUGACCAGACAUUAUCCUGGGAAAUUCAUCAAGUAAACAAAAUGGACAAAGAUUAUUGACAUCAUAAACUGGCUUUCUAGUGGGGAAAAAGAACUUAAUAGAUAAUUGGUGUAAUAUGUUAGAAAGAGAUGAAAACAUGAUUAAAGAAGAAAAGCUGAACGUGUUUAAGGAAGAUCCGGAAUGGGAGAGGCAAGUUGGAAAAUUAAUAAGGCUGGUCAAGAUAAGCUGCAUUAAGAAGGUUAGAUCUGAGCAAAGAAAGACUUGAAAGAGCUGAGGGAAUUAGCCAAGGGGAUACCUCAGUCAUCAGAGGAAGUCUUAAAUAUCUAUUUUAUUGAAUCUCCUGAACCUGAGCCUCAGCUAAAUCGGAAGCUUUGGGGCAGGCAGAGAACUAAGAUAUAGACAUUGCUGUUACUUCAUCUCUUUGAUGCUCCCCCACAUCUCAUUGUGAUUUUUCAAAUUAAAUUCAGCAGUUGAAUGUAGUUUACCAUGUUCUGUGUCACAAAAAGUAUGAUUUGGUAAGCAAAGGAUAUGUAACUUUAUAUUGUUUCUGUCCAACAGCAUUCUGCAAUCUUUAAAUCCCGUUAGUGGGGGGGCUGGGGUUGUGGCUCAGUGGCAGAGCACUUGCCUAGGUUCAAUCCUCCGCACCACAUACAAAAAUAAACAAAUAAAAUAAAGGCAUACUGUCCAUUUAUAACUACAAAACAUUUUUUUAAGUCCCAUUAAGAUUUAAAUGUAUCAAGAUGCCUAAUAUCAGAAAUUGAUAGAGAAUGGAUGUGUGUGAUAUUUGUUAAUCUCUGAUAGCUGAUACCAAAAC
rnacentral:lncRNA from 1 species